AACAGUUCCACGUCCCUGAAUUGAAAAUACAUCUUCUACUGGCAUUAAGAAUGGUUUAUCAAGCUGACGCACUGGAUCUGGAAUGUAUUCAUCUACAGCAUCCAUCAACUUUAAAAUAGCUUUCUUUCCAAUUUCUUCAUUAGUUCCCUGUAAAGCAGAAAGAGCUGAACCACGGAUGAUAGGAAUUUCAUCCCCAGGAAACUUGUAGAAACUAAGAAGUUCUCGAAGCUCCAUUUCAACAAGUUCCAGCAGCUCAGGAUCGUCAACAGCAUCAACUUUGUUUAAAAAGCAGACAAGAGAGGGCACACCGACCUGGCGGGCAAGAAGAAUAUGCUCCUUUGUUUGCGGCAUAGGUCCAUCUGGAGCAGAUACAACUAGAAUACCACCAUCCAUUUGGGCAGCUCCGGUAAUCAUAUUUUUAACGUAAUCCGCGUGUCCUGGGCAGUCAACAUGAGCAUAAUGUCUUUUAGCUGUCUCAUACUCCACGUGGGCUGUAGCAAUAGUAAUUCCUCUCUUCUUCUCUUCAGGGGCUUUGUCAAUUUCAUCAAAUGCAAUUGCCUUGGCCUUUCCUUCUUCUGCUAGAACCUUUGUA
rnacentral:misc_RNA from 1 species